rnacentral:sRNA from 1 species
GUUUUUUUGUGUGUUUUUUUUGCUUAU